rnacentral:rRNA from 1 species
GACGAACGCUGGCGGCGUGACUAAUACAUGCAAGUAGGACGCAGUUGCGAACGGGUGAGUAACGCGUAGGUAACUACCUAUUAGAGGGGGCUAACUCUUGGAAACGAUAGCUAAUACCGCAUACUAGUAGAUGGACCUUCGUUGUAUUAGCUAGUAGGUAGGGUAAAGGCCUACCUAGGCAACGAUACAUUGCCGACCGUGGAGGGUGAUCGGCCAAACUGGGAGUGAGACACGGCCCAGACCCCCACGGGAGGCAGCAGUAGGGAAGCUUCGGCAAUGGGGGGAACCCUGACCGAGCAACGCUGCGUGAGUGAAGAAGGUUUUCGGAACGUAAAGCUCUGUUGUUAAGGAAGCGGUACUUAACCAGAAAGGGACGGCUAACUACGUGCCAGCAGCCGCGGUAAUUC